rnacentral:lncRNA from 10 species
UCCGGGGAACACUUGCUAAUGUCUGGACACAGUUUUGGUUGUCACGACUACAGGCUGGUGAUGCUGGAGCCACAACAACCACCGGAAACCCCAAGGCGAAGACCAGAGAAUCCCAGAGAUGCAGACAGAGACUUCCUAGAGCUACAGAGUAAGCCAAAUUGGAGUUGCCUUUUCUGGACGUCUUGUUAGGUCUGAUGGGGUUCAUCACAUCUGAGCCAGGACUGGCUUUUCUUGGCUGCAAGCUGAAAGUUGGGUCCAGGUCUGCUGUACUGAGGGUCUCCUAUCUUCCUUGGACAGGGACAACCAGAGGCCUAUUUAUCUCAUGAUGGAAGGCAGGAGAACAAGCAGGCAAGACCAGCUGUGCUAGCACAUGCCACCUCUUUGCCCACGUCACACCUGCUGACGUCCCAUUGGCCAAUGCAAGUCACACAACCAAAGCCAACAUCAACAGGACAAGGAAACAGACUCUGCCUCUAGAU